rnacentral:tRNA from 1 species
GGGGGUAUAGCUCAGUUGGUAGAGCACUGUCUUUGCACGGCAGUUGUCAGCGGUUCGAUCCCGCUUACCUCCA